rnacentral:rRNA from 1 species
CGGUAAUUCCAGCUCCAAUAGCGUAUAUUUAAGUUGUUGCAGUUAAAAAGCUCGUAGUUGGACCUUGGACCUGGACAGGCGGUCCGCCUCACGGCGAGUACUGUCUUGCUGGGUCUUUCCUCUUGGUGAUCUGUUGUUUCGGCAGCAGGGAACCAGGACCUUUACUUUGAAAAAAUUAGAGUGUUCAAAGCAGGCUCGACGCCGGAAUAUAUUAGCAUGGAAUAAUAAAAUAGGACGUGCGGUUCUAUUUUGUUGGUUUUUGGAAUCGCCGUAAUGAUUAAUAGGGACAGUUGGGGGCAUUAGUACUCACAUGCUAGAGGUGAAAUUCUUGGAUUUUGUGAAGACUAACUUCUGCGAAAGCAUUUGCCAAGGAUGUUUUCAUUAAUCAAGAACGAAGGUUAGGGUAUCGAAAACGAUUAGAUACCGUUGUAGUCUUAACAGUAAACUAUGCCGACUAGGGAUCGGUCGAUGUUAUCUUUUUGACUCGAUCGGCACCUUACGAGAAAUCAAAGUUUUUGGGUUCUGGGGGGAGUAUGGUCGCAAGACUGAAACUUAAAGAAAUUGACGGAAGGGCACCACCAGGAGUGGAGCCUGCGGUUUAAUUUGAUUCAACACGGGGAAACUCACCAGGUCCAGACAUAUGAAGGAUUGACAGAUUGAUAGCUCUUUCUUUGAUUCUAUGGGUGGUGGUGCAUGGCCG